rnacentral:rRNA from 1 species
AGAGUUUGAUCCUGGCUCAGGAUGAACGCUGGCGGCGCGCUUAACACAUGCAAGUCGAACGGUUAAAGCCCCUUCGGGGGUGUAUGAAGUGGCGAACGGGUGAGUAACACGUGACCAACCUGCCCCUUACACCGGGACAACAGGCGGAAACGCCUGCUGAUACCGGAUACUCCGGGAGGCCCCCAUGGGCCCCCCGGGAAAGCUCCGACGGUAAGGGAUGGGGUCGCGUCCGAUUAGCUAGACGGCGGGGUAACGGCCCACCGUGGCGACGAUCGGUAGCCGGCCUGAGAGGGCGAUCGGCCACAUUGGGACUGAGACACGGCCCAGACUCCUACGGGAGGCAGCAGUGGGGAAUUUUGCGCAAUGGGGGAAACCCUGACGCAGCGACGCCGCGUGCGGGAUGAAGGCCUUCGGGUUGUAAACCGCUUUCAGCGGGGACGACUAUGACGGUACCCGCAGAAGAAGCUCCGGCUAACUACGUGCCAGCAGCCGCGGUAA